AGUGAACGCUGGCGGUAGGCCUAACACAUGCAAGUCGAACGGCAGCACAGUAAGAGCUUGCUCUUACGGGUGGCGAGUGGCGGACGGGUGAGGAAUACAUCGGAAUCUACUUUUUCGUGGGGGAUAACGUAGGGAAACUUACGCUAAUACCGCAUACGACCUACGGGUGAAAGCAGGGGAUCUUCGGACCUUGCGCGAUUGAAUGAGCCGAUGUCGGAUUAGCUAGUUGGCGGGGUAAAGGCCCACCAAGGCGACGAUCCGUAGCUGGUCUGAGAGGAUGAUAAGCCACACUGGAAAUGAGACACGGUCCAGACUCCUACGGGAGGCAGCAGUGGGGAAUAUUGGACAAUGGGCGCAAGACUGAUCCAGCCAUACCGCGUGGGUGAAGAAGGCCUUCGGGUUGUAAAGCCCUUUUGUUGGGAAAGAAAAGCAGCAGGUUAAUACCCCGCUGUUCUGACGGUACCCAAAGAAUAAGCACAGGCUAACUUCGUG
rnacentral:rRNA from 1 species